rnacentral:rRNA from 1 species
AGCAGUCGCCGCGGGAAUACGGAGGGUGCAAGCGUUAAUCGGAAUUACUGGGCGUAAAGCGCACGCAGGCGGUCUGACAAGUCAGAUGUGAAAUCCCCGGGCUUAACCUGGGAACUGCAUUUGAAACUGUCAGGCUGGAGUCUUGUAGAGGGGGGUAGAAUUCCAGGUGUAGCGGUGAAAUGCGUAGAGAUCUGGAGGAAUACCGGUGGCGAAGGCGGCCCCCUGGACAAAGACUGACGCUCAGGUGCGAAAGCGUGGGGAGCAAACAGGAUUAGUACCCCUGUAGUCCCUGUCUCUUAUACA